CGGGGAGCGAAAGCGAGAGGGAGUGCGGCAGCGGGUGGGAGAUCGGGAGCCCCCCGAAAAAAACAGAGGCGCACGUCGAUGCCAUCGAGGAUUUGGAACCUCAAUGGGUGGGAAUGUUUAAAUAUUCUGUGUUAGGUAGUCCAGUUUCAUAGACUAUGGAUUCUCUCAUGCAGCAAAAUGUUUCAGUCGCUCUGGAGCCAAAGACUUAAGGACGACUCGCAGUCCCCCCUUACAUUUGGCUGCCUAAGCCCCUGGAGCCACUAGCAAACUUGUUCUACGCUUGCACUGAAAAUAGAAAUUAAAAACCAAAGUAAACAAUCAAAAAGACCAAAAACAAUAACAACCAGCACCGAGCCGAACAUCAGUGAGGCAUUGCAAAAAUUUCAAAGUCAAGUUUGCGUCGUCAUCGCGUCUGAGUCCGAUCAAGCCGGGCUUGUAAUUGAAGUUGUUGAUGAGCCGCGGGAUUACUGGAUUGUGGCGAAUUCUGAAUGCGACGGCGCCAUCAUCCUGUUUGGGAAUUCAAUUCGCGGGCAGAUCGCUUAAUUCAAUUAAAAGG